AGAAUCAACGCUGGCGGCGUGCCUAACACAUGCAAGUCGCACGAGAAAGGGUAGCAAUACCUGAGUAAAGUGGCGCACGGGUGAGUAACACGUGAAUAAUCUACCUCCGAGUGGGGAAUAACUGAGAGAAAUCUUAGCUAAUACCGCAUAACACUUACGAGUCAAAGCAGCAAUGCGCUUGGAGAGGAGUUCGCGGCAGAUUAGCUAGGUUGGCGGGGUAAUGGCCCACCAAGGCGAUGAUCUGUAUCC
rnacentral:rRNA from 1 species